rnacentral:lncRNA from 10 species
AGAAAGUGCAUAAAGUGCAAGUAACUGAUAACUUCGGUUUGGAAUGUUAAGUGGAAUAUCCAUCUGGGGUAAAGGGGCGGGGCCUUGUGGUUGGCAUAGCAACAGACAUGGGUCAAACUCACCUGGGGGUUAGGGCGGGGUUGUUUGUCACUAAGGAAUCAUUGCUGAAUGACACUACAGUGGAGAACCAGAGCCCCGGGCUUUUCUAAACAAACAGCCCUGGUCACUGCUGAAUUCAAAGUGUACUGCCGGGGCCGGGCGCGGUGGCUCACGCCUGUAAUCCCAACACUUUGGGAGGCUGAGGCAGGCGGAUCACGAGGUCAGGAGAUAGAGACCAUCCUGGCCAACAUGGUGAAACCGAAACCCCGUCUCUACUAAAAAUACAAAAAUUAGCUGGGCAUGAUGGCGGGCGCCUGUAAUCCCAGCUACUCAGGAGGCUGAGGCAGGAGAAUCACUUGAACCCAGGAAGCGGAGGUUACAGUGAGCCGAGAUGGUGCCACUGCACUGCAGCCUGUCAACAGAGCAAGACUUGUCUGGAAAAAAAAAAAAAUGCGCACCGCCGGGCCCGCCUCCCUCAGCACCCAAUGCUGGUCGGAGCCCUCGGGCAAACAAACUACCUCCUGCAUCCGGGAACUUACCCUCCAGGCGGAAGGAAAGAAUGCGGGGACAGAGACCUGUCCUGGGAGAAGCUCCUUAGGAGAUGAAGGAGCACCGAAAGAUGCCUGACGUUUUUACGACUCCUCUUUCAUGUUUGUGUCCCAUCUCUUCUCAGAAGAAUUAGCCAUGUUUUGUGAAUUCCAGGUGCCAUCUUCAAAAACACCCUUGGAUUCUAGCCAAUCACCAAAAUGGCAGAGACGGCCACCUGAGACCAAUUAGAAUAUCCACACCAGUGGAAGAGAGCUCCAGUGGUAAAUUUCCUAGAUGUACAACUAUUGAUUUCAUGAUGUAUUGUUCCAUAAGGUGACUUUAAAACAGGACAAAAGUCAUGAUUCGUAUCUUUGUUUCAUCUUGUCGUUAAUAUUAUAUCUGGUAAUUUUCUUGAAAACAUAAGGACUUAUUUUACAAAUUUGUAUGCUUUCAUAAGUACUUCAUUGUAACUUUAAUAGUAAAUAAACUUUGGCUUUAUUAAGGUGUAGGAGAGAAAACCCUACGAACAGAAAUAAAACAAUUGUGAUGAAUCAUUCAUUAAUCCCUGGGAGAAGCAGAGUGGGCGUACUGUGGGCUUAGGCUCACUAAGAAGGACCUGGAUUCACAUCCUAGCUUUGUCCAUUGUAUGUGGCCUUGGGCAGGUCUCAUAAGCCACACUCCUUUGCAAAAUGAAGAUAACAAUAUCUACUUCUGAGAGCUGUUUUCAGAGGAUGAAAGUGCAUAAUAAGUGCCUUAUCUUACACAUGGCCCAGUCUUGGCUCAAAAAUGUUACUUUUCUUUCUUGAAUAUCCCCACUUCCUCUUGAACAGCCUCCCCCAAGGCAGUUAGUUGCUCAUCUUUCUCCCUAAUCCCCAGAUAAUUUGUUCUGAGCAGAAUAAUUUUUAUCCCGGUAGCUUAGAACAGUGGCCAGCCCACAACAAGUACUUGGUGUCUGUUUAUCUGGACUUGGUUGUGCUGUAAUUUAUGUGCUGACUGAGAGCUCCCAGGGAUAGGAACCACAUCAGCUAGCAUCUAGCAUAGUACCUAGUACAUAGUGCCUACUACAUAGGCUAUGCUCAGUAACAUAGUUGUGUUACUAUGCAUUGCACUCCUCAUUUUUGCAAGGUACACAAACAUAUCUGUCUUCAGCAGCCAGGCAGGUGAAUUAAGAUAAGAGCGAUAAAGUCCGUGACAAACUGGAGGCAUUCCCAUUCAACUAAACAAAAAACACUUUUCUGGCCAAACACAACAAUCUGUCCACAGGAUUUACCCCUCUACCAUAAAACUGCCACCAUAAACAAAGCUUUGUAAUUAACAAGUUCUUUUUUUUUUUUUUUUUUUUUUUUGGGCAGGGUAUCAAUCUGUCUCCCAGGCUGGAAGGCAGGAGUGAAGUGAAGUGGCAUGUGGUUCACAGUAGCUUCAACCUCCUGGGCUCAAGUGAUACUCUCAUCUCAGCCUCCCAAGUAGCUGGGACCACAAUCACAUGCCACCAUGCUGGGCUAGGUUUUUUAUUUUUUGUAGAGAUGAGGUUUUGCCAUGUUACCCAGGCUGGUCUUGAACUCCUGGCCUCAAGCGAUCCUCCCACUCCAGCCUCCCAAAGUAUUGGGAUUAUAGGUGUGAGCCACCAUGCCCAGCCCACAAUUACUUUCUUAUAUGUUAUCUCAUUUGAUACUUGAGCAAUUUUCUGAAGAAAGCGUUUUUGAGUUCAUUUUACAGGCAUCUGAUAGAGAAACUGAGGCUCAAAUACAGAGAUUUAUCCAAAUCAAACUAAGUUAAUAGCCAGCCAGGGAUUUGCAUUCAUGUCUUCUAACAUCGACCCAGGACUCCCGCUUCUCUUUACACCAUAUACUGUUCUUUAUGUGCCGCUGUUUUUCUCUUUAUAGUUUUUCUAGGACAAAAACCAAGCUCCAUCAGAAGGUUAAACCUGUGUCAGGUUUACAGUCCAAUGACCGCCGUGGGUCAUAAUCCAUCUAGAGCUCUGAGACAGGUGCCUUUAGAAACAAUGCCUUCUUUGCAACCAGAGGAGCGUGUUUUCCUCGAGUCAUCAGCAUAGAGAGGCCUGGCAGCAAGGUAUGAUGAGCAUGAUGAGUGGGCUGACAGGAAGAACUCUGCACCCAAAUGGCAAUGAGGAAGCAGGCUCCUUAUAUCAACGUGAAGAAUCUUUAAAGGAACUUGAGUUUGUAAAGAGAGCAAGAAAAACAAGAUAGAGUCUUAGCAACUAGAGGAAACAAGCAUCUCAUUUCUGUAGGCCAGUGUUGUCCAACAGAAACAAAAUGUGAGCUACAUAUAACUUUAAAUUUUC